AGUGAACGCUGGCGGUAGGCCUAACACAUGCAAGUCGAACGGCAGCACAGUAAGAGCUUGCUCUUACGGGUGGCGAGUGGCGGACGGGUGAGGAAUACAUCGGAAUCUACUUUUUCGUGGGGGAUAACGUAGGGAAACUUACGCUAAAACCGCAUACGACCUACGGGUGAAAGCAGGGGAUCUUCGGACCUUGCGCGAUUGAAUGAGCCGAUGUCGGAUUAGCUAGUUGGCGGGGUAAAGGCCCACCAAGGCGACGAUCCGUAGCUGGUCUGAGAGGAUGAUCGGCCACACUGGAACUGAGACACGGUCCAGACUCCUACGGGAGGCAGCAGUGGGGAAUAUUGGACAAUGGGCGCAAGCCUGAUCCAGCCAUACCGCGUGGGUGAAGAAGGCCUUCGGGUUGUAAAGCCCUUUUGUUGGGAAAGAAAAGCAGCAGGUUAAUACCCCGCUGUUCUGACGGUACCCAAAGAAUAAGCACCGGCUAACUUCGUG
rnacentral:rRNA from 1 species